rnacentral:rRNA from 1 species
GAUGAACGCUGGCGGCGUGCCUAAUACAUGCAAGUCGAGCGAACAGAUGAGGAGCUUGCUCCUCUGACGUUAGCGGCGGACGGGUGAGUAACACGUGGAUAACCUACCUAUAAGACUGGGAUAACUUCGGGAAACCGGAGCUAAUACCGGAUAAUAUAUUGAACCGCAUGGUUCAAUAGUGAAAGACGGUUUUGCUGUCUCUUAUAGAUGGAUCCGCGCCGCAUUAGCUAGUUGGUAAGGUAACGGCUUACCAAGGCAACGAUGCGUAGCCGACCUGAGAGGGUGAUCGGCCACACUGGAACUGAGACACGGACCAGACUCCUAAGGGAGGCAGCAGUAGGGAAUCUUCCGCAAUGGGCGAAAGCUUGACGGAGCAACGCCGCGUGAGUGAUGAAGGUCUUCGGAUCGUAAAACUCUGUUAUUAGGGAAGAACAAAUGUGUAAGUAACUAUGCACGUCUUGACGGUACCUAAUCAGAAAGCCACGGCUAACUACGUG